AGGUGAACUUGGAUGCGUUUGCAAUGUUUCAUUUGAGUCAGAUUGCAGUUGAGUGCAGAAUUAUCAUGGAACUUGCAAUUCCGUGAGAGAAACCGGGCUCACGAGUGUUUGAAAGAUUCACAGUGGGCUAUCAUCCACGGUCAUGAGAAAUUGUAUACAACGUUAUGACUCAAUGCGGUUACGAAAAAGCUUACAAGGACUACAGCUUUGACACGGACCAGAGUCGUGUAUCUCUUUGUAUAUGACUGCAGUUGCUUCUCUUUCUCAUUUACUUCAAAAACCAACUGUUACGGU